UGUGUGUCCCAAUACAUCUGC
rnacentral:siRNA from 1 species